UCCCUUGUGGCUCAGCUGGUAAAGAAUCUGCCUGUAAUGCAGAAGACCUAGGUUCAAUCCCUGGGUCAGGAA
rfam:Ovis aries breed Texel chromosome 4, whole genome shotgun sequence.